rnacentral:rRNA from 1 species
AGUGAACGCUGGCGGUAGGCCUAACACAUGCAAGUCGAACGGCAGCACAGUAAGAGCUUGCUCUUACGGGUGGCGAGUGGCGGACGGGUGAGGAAUACAUCGGAAUCUACUUUUUCGUGGGGGAUAACGUAGGGAAACUUACGCUAAUACCGCAUACGACCUACGGGUGAAAGCAGGGGAUCUUCGGACCUUGCGCGAUUGAAUGAGCCGAUGUCGGAUUAGCUAGUUGGCGGGGUAAAGGCCCACCAAGGCGACGAUCCGUAGCUGGUCUGAGAGGAUGAUCAGCCACACUGGAACUGAGACACGGUCCAGACUCCUACGGGAGGCAGCAGUGGGGAAUAUUCGACAAUGGGCGCAAGCCUGAUCCAGCCAUACCGCGUGGGUGAAGAAGGCCUUCGGGUUGUAAAGCCCUUUUGUUGGGAAAGAAAAGUAGCAGGUUAAUACCCCGCUGUUCUGACGGUACCCAAAGAAUAAGCACCGGCUAACUUCGUG